rnacentral:rRNA from 1 species
AGCGAACGCUGGCGGCAGGCCUAAUACAUGCAAGUCGAGCGGGUCCUUCGGGAUUAGCGGCGGACGGGUGAGUAACGCGUGGGAACGUGCCCUUUGGUACGGAACAACUGAGGGAAACUUCAGCUAAUACCGUAUGUGCCCUUCGGGGGAAAGAUUUAUCGCCAUUGGAGCGGCCCGCGUUGGAUUAGGUAGUUGGUGAGGUAAAGGCUCACCAAGCCUACGAUCCAUAGCUGGUCUGAGAGGAUGACCAGCCACACUGGGACUGAGACACGGCCCAGACUCCUACGGGAGGCAGCAGUAGGGAAUCUUGCGCAAUGGGCGAAAGCCUGACGCAGCUAUGCCGCGUGAAUGAUGAAGGUCUUAGGAUUGUAAAUUCUUUCACCGGGACGAUAAUGACGGUACCGGAGAAGAAGCCCCGGCUAACUUCGUGCCAGCAGCCGCGGUAAU